rnacentral:rRNA from 1 species
AGCGAACGCUGGCGGCAGGCUUAACACAUGCAAGUCGAGCGGGCGUAGCAAUACGUCAGCGGCAGACGGGUGAGUAACGCGUGGGAACGUACCUUUUGGUUCGGAACAACACAGGGAAACUUGUGCUAAUACCGGAUAAGCCCUUACGGGGAAAGAUUUAUCGCCGAAAGAUCGGCCCGCGUCUGAUUAGCUAGUUGGUGAGGUAACGGCUCACCAAGGCGACGAUCAGUAGCUGGUCUGAGAGGAUGACCAGCCACAUUGGGACUGAGACACGGCCCAAACUCCUACGGGAGGCAGCAGUGGGGAAUAUUGGACAAUGGGGGCAACCCUGAUCCAGCCAUGCCGCGUGAGUGAUGAAGGCCCUAGGGUUGUAAAGCUCUUUUGUGCGGGAAGAUAAUGACGGUACCGCAAGAAUAAGCCCCGGCUAACUUCGUG